rnacentral:rRNA from 1 species
CUGCUGCCUUCCGUAGGAGUCUGGUCCGUGUCUCAGUACCAGUGUGGGGGACCUUCCUCUCAGAACCCCUACGCAUCGUCGCCUUGGUGGGCCGUUACCCCGCCAACUAGCUAAUGUGACGCAUGACCAUCCGUAGCCGGAAUCGCUUCCUUUAAACCCGAGGAGAUGCCUCCUCGGGUUGUUACGCGGUAUUAGACGGAAUUUCUUCCGCUUAUCCCCCUGCUACGGGCAGGUUUCAUACGUGUUACUCACCCGUGCGCCGGUCGCCGGCGGGAG